AUUUAACUUCUUUAAAAUCUUAAGUUCCUUAGACUCCAUGUUGAACGGUGACGGUCACCAUCUCACAGAAUUGUUUGAUUUCACUUUUUCUCAAGGUUUUUUCUUCAUAAAAUAAAAGAAUUUUUUUUAUUUAUUAUCCCAAAAGAAAAAAGAAUAAAAAAAAACAAAAAACGAAAACAAAGAAAAAGAAAAACAUUAGGGUUUGCUAACCCACGUUGAACGGUGAUUUCCUAAUCCACCAGUUAUGCCAUAGACAAAAGAGUUGAUGUUCUUAUGGGUGAUAUUUCGAUCGGUGUUUGGUGAUUCAGGGUUUAAGAAGAAAUUGAUGAUGAAACUUAAGAGGGAAUCGGAGGUGAAAUUGAUAAGGGUUAUUGAGAACUGAGAUUGAUGAUUAAGUUAAGACAAUUGAAGAAUUUCAGAAACUAGGGUUUGGUUUUGGGAAGAGCAGCUAAGACUGAUUCUUAUUUGUUUCCUAUCCCUAAUCUUCAAACGACGUCAACAAAUUAACAUGGUGAUAGAAAUUUGUAAGCUCUAUAAUCAAAAGAGGGUUUUGUUUAUGUCCUUGGAAUUCGGUUAUGGGCUCAAUUAUAUGAUAGGAAUCUGGAGAAGGGAGUUCUGUACUCCAGAUUUAAGGUGAUAAUUGUCUGUGAUGCUCUUGCACAAUCUGGAGAAGGGAGCUCACAUGCAUCAUUGUGGUAACAUUCAGCGUGAUUCUGGAAGACCUUCCACUCCUAGAAAAGACCUACAGAUUUGGGCACCAUUAACUUAUCUGGGUUUUCUUUUAGUAUCUAUAUCUAUCAUUCUCGAAUCCUUGGAAGGUGAUGGUGGUACGCUACGAACUUGCCUUAAGGAUGGGGUAGAUAUGCCCAGUUCAGUUUAGCAGAGAUAAUGAUGUGAAUGCUGCUGUCGGGGAAGGAACGGUAACACAGUUCGAUACACUGCCUUAGUUCUUUUCUUUCCUUUUCUUUACUGGAUCAUCAAAGUCUAUACUUUGGUAUUUUCUGCAGCCAUAAUGGAUGGCUCCUGAAGUUAUAAUUGUUCGGGAUGCUUUGCGUUUGUUGUUUGCUUAGCAGACUGAUCUGCGCUACAAUUCUUGAAAAAAUGCUCCAUAUGGGUUCCAAAGCAGUCUCCAUGGGUUGGUACCUGACAAAGUGGCAAGUUGGUUCGUCAUGGAUUUUUCUUCCACAAUCCCAUUUGAGACUUUAAGAUUCAUGUUUACAGGAAGCAGCAAUAUGUAUAUCUCCUAUUACAUAUUGGGUUUGCUCAAAUUUUGAAGUCUAAGAAAUCUUAAACAACUUUUCACAAGGUUUGUGAACUGCUGCCUAAAGGUAAUUUGUUCCCACCGGCCAAUUAGGUCAGAGUCAACGUCCACAUCGAAUAUGGAGAAGGCACACCUUUGGCAGGUCAUAAGCCUUCCACCUGAGCAGAGGCAUCAAGCACUUCUGUAUUAGCAAACUGGUAUCUCGAUCUGUUGUCAAUCCAGAGGAACAAACGCAUACAAAGAUCAAGAAAGAAAUGAAGUCGUUGGUGGUAGUGCUGAGUUAUUGGAUUCUGAAGGCCAUGUCAGUGGGAUUACGAUGAUCACUUUUAGUUGGUAGAAGUAGUUGCAUGAUAUUUUAAAAUUUUAGUUCAUUGCACAUUGACUGAUUCCCUUUAGUUUGAGAUGUAAAUUCUAAUUCGGCAGGAAGUUAAAAUUACCAA